GACGAACGCUGGCGGCGUGCUUAACACAUGCAAGUCGAACGGAAAGGCCCUGCUUUUGUGGGGUGCUCGAGUGGCGAACGGGUGAGUAACACGUGAGUAACCUGCCCUUGACUUUGGGAUAACUUCAGGAAACUGGGGCUAAUACCGGAUAGGAGCUCCUGCUGCAUGGUGGGGGUUGGAAAGUUUCGGCGGUUGGGGAUGGACUCGCGGCUUAUCAGCUUGUUGGUGGGGUAGUGGCUUACCAAGGCUUUGACGGGUAGCCGGCCUGAGAGGGUGACCGGCCACAUUGGGACUGAGAUACGGCCCAGACUCCUACGGGAGGCAGCAGUGGGGAAUAUUGCACAAUGGGCGGAAGCCUGAUGCAGCAACGCCGCGUGCGGGAUGACGGCCUUCGGGUUGUAAACCGCUUUCGCCUGUGACGAAGCGUGAGUGACGGUAAUGGGUAAAGAAGCACCGGCUAACUACGUGCCAGCAGCCGCGGUGAUACGUAGGGUGCGAGCGUUGUCCGGAUUUAUUGGGCGUAAAGGGCUCGUAGGUGGUUGAUCGCGUCGGAAGUGUAAUCUUGGGGCUUAACCCUGAGCGUGCUUUCGAUACGGGUUGACUUGAGGAAGGUAGGGGAGAAUGGAAUUCCUGGUGGAGCGGUGGAAUGCGCAGAUAUCAGGAGGAACACCAGUGGCGAAGGCGGUUCUCUGGGCCUUUCCUGACGCUGAGGAGCGAAAGCGUGGGGAGCGAACAGGCUUAGAUACCCUGGUAGUCCACGCUGUAAACGGUGGGUACUAGGUGUGGGGUCCAUUCCACGGGUUCCGUGCCGUAGCUAACGCUUUAAGUACCCCGCCUGGGGAGUACGGCCGCAAGGCUAAAACUCAAAGGAAUUGACGGGGCCCCGCACAAGCGGCGGAGCAUGCGGAUUAAUUCGAUGCAACGCGUAGAACCUUACCUGGGUUUGACAUGGAUCGGGAGUGCUCAGAGAUGGGUGUGCCUCUUUUGGGGUCGGUUCACAGGUGGUGCAUGGCUGUCGUCAGCUCGUGUCGUGAGAUGUUGGGUUAAGUCCCGCAACGAGCGCAACCCUUGUUCACUGUUGCCAGCACGUUAUGGUGGGGACUCAGUGGAGACCGCCGGGGUCAACUCGGAGGAAGGUGGGGAUGACGUCAAGUCAUCAUGCCCCUUAUGUCCAGGGCUUCACGCAUGCUACAAUGGCUGGUACAGAGAGUGGCGAGCCUGUGAGGGUGAGCGAAUCUCGGAAAGCCGGUCUCAGUUCGGAUUGGGGUCUGCAACUCGACCUCAUGAAGUCGGAGUCGCUAAUAAUCGCAGAUCAGCAACGCUGCGGUGAAUACGUUCCCGGG
rnacentral:rRNA from 1 species